rnacentral:SRP_RNA from 1 species
GUCCAGGGGCACUGGCUAUGUGCGCUAUGCCACGGAAGUUGAGGCCCAGAAUGCUGUAGCCAUCAUGAGGGAAUCCGAGCUUGGAGGCCGAAAUCUACUCGUUGACUUGUGGACUGGAAGCUCUGGCAAGGGAAAGGGAGGAAAGGCAGCAGUUGGAGGCAAGGGGGCCGCAG